rnacentral:snoRNA from 1 species
GAGACCAAUGAUGACAGCGUAUUACAAACAAAGGGUUAUGCUUAAUCCAAUUCUAUGCAUCGGAGGUUCAGU